rnacentral:rRNA from 1 species
GAUGAACGCUGACAGAAUGCUUAACACAUGCAAGUCCACUUGAACUUCGGUUUGGGUGGCGGACGGGUGAGUAACGCGUAAAGAACUUGCCUCACAGCUAGGGACAACAUUUGGAAACGAAUGCUAAUACCUGAUAUUAUGAUUAUAUGGCAUCGUAUAAUUAUGAAAGCUAUAUGCGCUGUGAGAGAGCUUUGCGUCCCAUUAGCUAGUUGGAGGGGUAACAGCUCACCAAGGCGAUGAUGGGUAGCCGGCCUGAGAGGGUGAUCGGCCACAAGGGGACUGAGACACGGCCCUUACUCCGACGGGAGGCAGCAGUGGGGAAUAUUGGACAAUGGACCGAGAGUCUGAUCCAGUAAUUCUGUGUUCACGAUGAAGUUUUUCGGAAUGUAAAGUGAUUUCAGUUGGGAAGAAAAAAAUGACGGUACCAACAGAAGAAGUGACGGCUAAAUACGUG